UUAGAAUUUUCGAAAAGUUCUCAAAAAUUGACCAAUAAAUCCGAUCAGGUACCUAACUAAAAUUCAAGUUCUGAGGAUCUCAGAAUUGCGUUUGUUCCAAAAAAUGUAAAUUUUCAUUAAAAAAAUUGAAUUUAAAAAAAAAACAAAAUGUUGAACUUAAUAAUAUAGAAGCUUGAAUUUGAAGUGUAGGUUUUUGUCAGAGGGGAAGGCAGGUGCAUAAAAAGUAGAAAAUUAUCGUAAAAAAAAUCAAUUUGAUCGUACUAUGUACAGUACAUCUAUCUAAUUUGGAUAACUCCAAAAAAAAAAAAAAAAAAAAAACAGAUUUGAAGAGGCUAAGUAAAUUAAAAUGUAAACACAUCAUAUUUUUUUAUCUGCAUCAAUCAACUCGAGUAAGUACAUAAAUACAUUUAAGAUUAAGCACGAGUUGAAAUAAGAAAACUGACGCUAAUUUACUUCAAAAUCUCAUUAUUCAAAUCAUUAAAUAUAAAUACGCUGAUAAAGAUCAUAAUUAAUUUAUCAAUUCAAAAAUCUGUGUGCAAGUACAUACGAUUUGGAUACUAAUUUUUGUACUUCAGUUUCAUUUGUAUACCGUGCCUUUUACUCAACAAAAUUUCAUAGUGACCUGUACUUCUUCUUUUCUUUUAGACUGCCUAAUUAAAUUUUGAAGCAAACAUGAAUCUUUUCUACAUUAUUUGGACAGUAAUUCUCGCUUCCAACUGCAAUAGUCAAGAUAAUCCCUCGAAUCUUAGUUCAAAUAUUAUGCCUGAAGGUGCGAUUCAUUUCGAUACGUUUUUGUACGUUCCGUCUAGAGAAGCAAACUACAUUUGGACUAUUCAUAAUUUCACUGCUAACGAGGCAGAAAAUACUUCCGGUUAUGAAAUUAGAUCACCCAAUUUCCGCGCGCCCGCGCCUACAAUUGAACAAUGGGAUUUGCAGUUGAUGAUUACACCAAACCUGAAGGUUUGUGAAGGAAAUAAAACGAUUCGUCUGCGUGGACAUAUAGAAGGCUACGGUAAAUUCAAUCGAGGGUUCGCAGAUAUGAAUAUUUCAUUUAUAAAUAAUAAAAAAGAAAGGUUACUAACAGUAAAUGGACGCAUCGAGAUCCGUUUCGGGAACUACCAGUACCUGAGGGAUGUUUGCAUGAAAGAUGAUUUCUUCAGAAAUCAAGUACUACAAAACGACACAUUAACGCUGUUAAUCAACAUUAGAUGGACAGAUCCACUUUCACACAAGGCAAUUCAACGACAUAAUGUUUCUUUACCGGCGUCAACGAGUACAUCCAAGACUACCACGAAGUCUAAGUCAGUGUUGGCAGCGUUCCUUGCGUUCUUCGGGAAAGAAUGGAUCACCCAAAAAACAUAGAUAUGAGGAAAAAAAAAUCAAAUCUGCGAAUUCUUGCUUCAUUCAAUCAUCCUAAGCAGUUUGGGAACCAAUAAAUAAACAAAGACAUCUCACUAUAUUCCAGCUUUUAUUUUUACCCCUGGCUUAUAUCUCUUUGCUUUCUAAUGCUAUGUAUUUUUAAAUAUACAGACUUUAACUGA